rfam:Erwinia carotovora subsp. atroseptica SCRI1043, complete genome
CCAUCAUCACCAUCAUCCUGAUUAGUCUUUCGGACGGUUGGUGCUGGAAGACGUUCAGAUCUUCCAGUGGCGCAGAACACAAAGAGAGCCCUCGGAAGAUCAUCUUCCGAGGGUUUUUUUAU